rnacentral:rRNA from 1 species
AUGAACGCUAGCUACAGGCUUAACACAUGCAAGUCGAGGGGCAGCAUGGUCUUAGCUUGCUAAGGCCGAUGGCGACCGGCGCACGGGUGAGUAACACGUAUCCAACCUGCCGUCUACUCUUGGACAGCCUUCUGAAAGGAAGAUUAAUACAAGAUGGCAUCAUGAGUCCGCAUGUUCACAUGAUUAAAGGUAUUCCGGUAGACGAUGGGGAUGCGUUCCAUUAGAUAGUAGGCGGGGUAACGGCCCACCUAGUCUUCGAUGGAUAGGGGUUCUGAGAGGAAGGUCCCCCACAUUGGAACUGAGACACGGUCCAAACUCCUACGGGAGGCAGCAGUGAGGAAUAUUGGUCAAUGGGCGAGAGCCUGAACCAGCCAAGUAGCGUGAAGGAUGACUGCCCUAUGGGUUGUAAACUUCUUUUAUAAAGGAAUAAAGUCGGGUAUGGAUACCCGUUUGCAUGUACUUUAUGAAUAAGGAUCGGCUAACUCCGUGCCAGCAGCCGCGGUAAUACGGAGGAUCCGAGCGUUAUCCGGAUUUAUUGGGUUUAAAGGGAGCGUAGAUGGAUGUUUAAGUCAGUUGUGAAAGUUUGCGGCUCAACCGUAAAAUUGCAGUUGAUACUGGAUAUCUUGAGUGCAGUUGAGGCAGGCGGAAUUCGUGGUGUAGCGGUGAAAUGCUUAGAUAUCACGAAGAACUCCGAUUGCGAAGGCAGCCUGCUAAGCUGCAACUGACAUUGAGGCUCGAAAGUGUGGGUAUCAAACAGGAUUAGAUACCCUGGUAGUCCACACGGUAAACGAUGAAUACUCGCUGUUUGCGAUAUACAGCAAGCGGCCAAGCGAAAGCGUUAAGUAUUCCACCUGGGGAGUACGCCGGCAACGGUGAAACUCAAAGGAAUUGACGGGGGCCCGCACAAGCGGAGGAACAUGUGGUUUAAUUCGAUGAUACGCGAGGAACCUUACCCGGGCUUAAAUUGCAGAUGAAUUACGGUGAAAGCCGUAAGCCGCAAGGCAUCUGUGAAGGUGCUGCAUGGUUGUCGUCAGCUCGUGCCGUGAGGUGUCGGCUUAAGUGCCAUAACGAGCGCAACCCCUGCGGACAGUUGCCAUCAGGUAGAGCUGGGCACUCUGUCCGGACUGCCGGCGCAAGCCGUGAGGAAGGCGGGGAUGACGUCAAAUCAGCACGGCCCUUACGUCCGGGGCUACACACGUGUUACAAUGGGGGGUACAGAGGGCCGCUACCACGCGAGUGGAUGCCAAUCCCCAAAACCUCUCUCAGUUCGGACUGGAGUCUGCAACCCGACUCCACGAAGCUGGAUUCGCUAGUAAUCGCGCAUCAGCCACGGCGCGGUGAAUACGUUCCCGGGCCUUGUACACACCGCCCGUCAAGCCAUGGGAGCCGGGGGUACCUGAAGUGCGUAACCGCGAGGAGCGCCCUAGGGUAAAACUGGUGACUGGGGCU